UACGAAGGGGGCUAGCGUUGCUCGGAAUCACUGGGCGUAAAGGGCGCGUAGGCGGCCAUUCAAGUCGGGGGUGAAGGCCUGUGGCUCAACCACAGAAUUGCCUUCGAUACUGUUUGGCUUGAGUAUGGUAGAGGUUGGUGGAACUGCGAGUGUAGAGGUGAAAUUCGUAGAUAUUCGCAAGAACACCAGUGGCGAAGGCGGCCAACUGGACCAUUACUGACGCUGAGG
rnacentral:rRNA from 1 species